GACGAACGCUGGCGGCGUGCCUAAUACAUGCAAGUCGAGCGAAGUUUUUCUGGUGCUUGCACUAGAAAAACUUAGCGGCGAACGUGUGAGUAACACGUAAAGAACCUGCCUCAUAGACUGGGACAACUAUUGGAAACGAUAUCUAAUACCGGAUAACAGUAUUUCUCGCAUGAGAGAUAUUUAAAAGUUGGUUAUGCUAACACUAUGAGAUGGCUUUGCGGUGCAUUAGCUAGUUGGUGGGGUAAAGGCCCACCAAGGCGACGAUGCAUAGCCGACCUGAGAGGGUGAUCGGCCACACUGGGACUGAGACACGGCCCAGACUCCUACGGGAGGCAGCAGUAGGGAAUCUUCCGCAAUGGGCGAAAGCCUGACGGAGCAACGCCGCGUGAGUGAAGAAGGAUUUCGGUUCGUAAAGCUCUGUUGUUAGGGAAGAAUGGAUAUGUAGUAACCAUACAUGUAAGAGACGGUACCUAAUCAGAAAGCCACGGCUAACUACGUG
rnacentral:rRNA from 1 species